rnacentral:rRNA from 1 species
UACGUAGGGUGCAAGCGUUUAAUCGGAAUUACUGGGCGUAAAGCGUGCGCAGGCGGUUAUGUAAGACAGGUGUGAAAUCCCCGGGCUUAACCUGGGAACUGCAUUUGUGACUGCAUAGCUAGAGUACGGUAGAGGGGGAUGGAAUUCCGGCGUGUAGCAGUGAAAUGCGUAGAUAUGCGGAGGAACACCGAUGGCGAAGGCAAUCCCCUGGACCUGGUACUGACGCUCAUGCACGAAAGCGUGGGGAGCAAACAGG